rnacentral:rRNA from 1 species
GACGAAGGGGGCUAGCGUUGUUCGGAAUUACUGGGCGUAAAGGGCGCGUAGGCGGCUCUAUAAGUCAGGCGUGAAAGCCCUGGGCUCAACCUGGGAGUGGCGCUUGAUACUGUGGGGCUAGAGAGUGGGAGGGGUUGGUGGAAUUCCCAGUGUAGAGGUGAAAUUCGUAGAUAUUGGGAAGAACACCGGUGGCGAAGGCGGCCAACUAGACCAUUUCUGACGCUGAGGCGCGAAAGCGUGGGGAGCAAACAGG